rnacentral:rRNA from 1 species
UUGGCGACCGGCGCACGGGUGCGUAACGCGUAUGUAACCUACCUAUAACAGGGGCAUAACACUGAGAAAUUGGUACUAAUUCCCCAUAAUAUUCGGAGAGGCAUCUCUCCGGGUUGAAAACUCCGGUGGUUAUAGAUGGACAUGCGUUGUAUUAGCUAGUUGGUGAGGUAACGGCUCACCAAGGCAACGAUACAUAGGGGGACUGAGAGGUUAACCCCCCACACUGGUACUGAGACACGGACCAGACUCCUACGAGAGGCAGCAUG